AAACCAACAGGAUUGCCUCAGUAGCGGCGAGUGAAGCGGCAAGAGCUCAGAUUUGAAAUCUCACCUAGUGUGCGAGUUGUAAAUUGCAGGUUGGAGUCUCGGGUUAGACGUGUGUGCAAGUCCCUUGGAACAGGGCGCCACUGAGGGUGAGAGCCCCGUAGCGUGCAUGUCGACACCUGUGAGGCCCUUCUGACGAGUCGAGUUGUUUGGGAAUGCAGCUCUAAGUGGGUGGUAAAUUCCAUCUAAGGCUAAAUAUUGGCGAGAGACCGAUAGCGAACAAGUACUGUGAAGGAAAGAUGAAAAGCACUUUGAAAAGAGAGUGAAACAGCACGUGAAAUUGUUGAAAGGGAAGGGUAUUGGGGCUCGACAUGGGGAUUUUACGCAUCGUUGCCUCUCGUGGGCGGCGCUCUGGGGUUUUUCCUGGGCCAGCAUCGGUUUUCGUUGCAGGAUAAGGCAAUUGGAAUGUGGCUCCUCGGAGUGUUAUAGCCUUUUGU
rnacentral:rRNA from 1 species